CGUUGACGACGUUGGCCAGCAGGUUCUGCGCCGUUGGCCACUGGAGAGUCAUCUCCCUUCCAGGAUCUCACCCCCUGCGGAAUGACAGCCACGCUGGACAGUCUCAGCUCUCACCUAUCUUUCUCUUCUGGGUACCCUGAGAACUCCCCUAGGUCAUCCAUUGUACGAGGCAUAAAUGUCUCCUGCCUGCUCUAUCUGGAUCCAUAGAGGCUCCCCGGACAGUCAGAGCUCACCUUUUCAGCCUCUUCACGGCUCAUGGCCAAGGCCAGCUGCA